CAGGAUGAUGCCACAGACUUUGCACAGCAGCUCGUCGUAGGUCCAGUUGUCGUGCUGUAAAGCAUACUGAAGCCAAAAAGGCAAAGAAAAUAUGUACAGCAGGUCUGCUAUUGUCAAAUUGCAAAGAGGGAACGUCAUGCCUGGUUUUGGUAGAAAUAUCCUUGGGAGCUCAGAAACUUUCAGUCAUGAAACAACAGGCCAAGGUUUUUAUGACUUUGGACUUCUUUGUUUAUGCCUGCACUUAUAAAGGACAACUU